GACGAACGCUGGCGGCGUGCUUAACACAUGCAAGUCGAACGGAAAGGCCCUGCUUUUGUGGGGUGCUCGAGUGGCGAACGGGUGAGUAACACGUGAGUAACCUGCCCUUGACUUUGGGAUAACUUCAGGAAACUGGGGCUAAUACCGGAUAGGAGCUCCUGCUGCAUGGGGGGGGUGGGAAAGUUUAGGCGGUUGGGGAUGGACUCGCGGCUUAUGCGCUUGUUGGUGGGGUAGUGGCUUACCACGGCUUUGACGGGUAGCCGGCCUGAGGGGGGAACCGGCCACUGUUGGCCCGGAAUCAGGCCCAGACUCCUACGGGAGGGCACCGGUGAGUAUAUUGCGGUGUUGGCUGAAUGCUUGUGCAGCAACGCCGCGUGCGGGGUGUCUGGCUGCGGGUUGUAUACCUAUUUCGCCUGUGACGGAGCGUGAGUGACGGUACUGUGUAAAGAAGCACCGGCUAACUACGUG
rnacentral:rRNA from 1 species